AUAGGUAAUGUGUCAUUGGCAAAGAAACAAAAGAAGUCGCUCCGAGAUAUUCAGAAAAUGGGAGCUGACGAGAAUCAAGUCGGUUCAUCCAUAGCAACACAUGCUUUUGGUGCAAAUGAUCAAGCCGGUUCGUCCACAACAACACAUGCUUUUGAUGAUGAUGAUACCUGUAAUUUGGAAACCUUAGCAGCAGCAGAGAAAGUUUAGAAGAUUUUCUGAACAAGUUUUAAUAUUGCAAGCCAUUUUGUGAUAGGACGCCAGCAGAAAUUUCAUGUGUUGAGUUUAUUUGGUUUGGGAAUUCUAAUGGACGAAUUUAAUAAUAGGAAAAUUUCGAAAA